rnacentral:sRNA from 1 species
GAAUUUGAGGGUGACCUGGCUGUGACAAGCCACCCACUGAUUACCAGUGUUUUUUCAACUGAUCUUACUGGCUUGCUGGUGUCCCUUUCUCCUCCACAGUUCUGUGUCUGUCCUUCCUGAAGCAGAAUGCUCGGUCAUAAAGGACACUUUCUUUUUUUUUC